UAUAUAUAUAAAGAGAGAGAGAAUGAAAGGGAGAGAGAUCCAAGAUCUCUUUUAACAGAGAUCAAAAAAGAGAGGUAAAGAAAGAGGGGUCAUCCACAUCUUCGAUUUGCAAAACAAAAUAAAAAAAAAAGAGAGCAAAAGAAAGAGCAAAAGAAGGUAGAAGAAAGAAAGUUAAAAAUAAAUAGAGAGGAUCAAACAGAAAAUCGGCAAACAACGCUGCAGGAGGAGAGUUAAAAAUAAAUAGGGAGGAUCGCACAGAGAAUCGACGAACAACGCUGCAGGAGGAAAGGUCUUCCAUAUUGCAAGGGAGGAUCGUACAGAGAAUCGGCGAACAAUGCUGCAGGAGGGGAGGUCUUCCAUAUCGCACACAAUCCACAGUUUGCUUACUUAAAAAAAAAAAAAAGAGAGAGAGAAUAAAGAGAACGUAGAAGAAAGGUAGAGGGUACCAGAGAAACAAAGUAGAUAAGGAUUAAACAAAAAAAAAGAAGAAUAUAUAUAAAAAAUAAAAUAAAAAAACAAAGAGAAGAAGAACUGUGCUCCUCCUCCUCCCUUCCCUGUCCGUUGACGUACUCGCUGCAUCCACCGCGUCCGCCGCCACGUCUACCAAACCCGUCGCUGCCCGAGGCCGCGUCCACCGCGUUUGCCGCCGCCACUGCCGCGUCUACCGUCGACGACGCCCAACGCCGCCCGCUGCCGCAUCCACCACGUCCGUUGCCGCGUCCACCGUCGACGACGCCCAACGCCGCCCGGAGUCAGCCCAACCCGGCGCUGUCCGCUGCCGUACCCGCCGACGUCGCCCAACGCUGCUGAAGCCGCUGUUGCCACAGCAUCCACCGCCCAAGUUGCCCGACGCC
rnacentral:lncRNA from 1 species